rnacentral:rRNA from 1 species
ACUAUCGUUAACUGAAUACAUAGGUUAACGAGGCGAACCGGGGGAACUGAAACAUCUAAGUACCCCGAGGAAAAGAAAUCAACCGAGAUUCCCCCAGUAGCGGCGAGCGAACGGGGAGCAGCCCAGAGUCUGAAUCAGCUUGUGUGUUAGUGGAACGGUCUGGAAAGUCCGACGGUACAGGGUGAUAGUCCCGUACACCAAAAUGCACAGGCUGUGAACUCGAAGAGUAGGGCGGGACACGUGGUAUCCUGUCUGAAUAUGGGGGGACCAUCCUCCAAGGCUAAAUACUCCUGACUGACCGAUAGUGAACCAGUACCGUGAGGGAAAGGCGAAAAGAACCCCGGCGAGGGGAGUGAAAAAGAACCUGAAACCGUGUAC